UGCACAUUCGGGUCAUGAUCUAAUGAACACGAAAUAAUGAAGAACAAGAAACAGUGGACCGAGCUUUACUAAUACAAAACACUAGUGGACUUCACCACGUCCAACGAGUUUUCUCAAAGACAGCAGGCACGGUAAAACUCAGUCAAAGUUCUUAUUGUAGAAUAAAAUUAAAAAUAAGUUCUGUUUAUGAAUUAAAAGGAGAGUCAAGGUCACCGAUUUUAGCUGCAACAAACAGAAGUUUAAAGCCAGCCUCCAGUAUGGGCAAAGAAGCAUCCAGACGUGGACAAUCAGAUUAAAAAACAACCAACAUUAGUCAUGUUUUUUUUCUUCCUAAGGGGAGGAGAGGAGGGGACGUCUUCAAGUGUCAUACAAAUCGAAGUGAUAUUAAGAAAGAUGAUAAGAACAUAAGAAAAAUAUUGGGCCAAUGAUUGAGAAAUUAGAAAUAAUGUAAGUAGGAAGGACGAGCAAAGGACAUCUUCACUGUAUGAAAAAGGGAAAUUUUCAUGCAAAAUGGUCUUCAACACAAAAAAUGGUGAACUGUCUCAUUCACAACUGGUUCGACUUCCCAAAACACAUUUUAUAUGCCAUAAUUAUGGCUCUUCUAGAGUUCCUCGACAGUAAACUGCAUUUAUAUCUACAGUGGAGGUACUAACUCAAAUCGAACUGCAAUAAUUUUAAAUGCACCACUGAUUACUCCAAAGAAAUGAAACUAGAGACGUGUCGUCAAAUGUCCACUACCACAUAAUCAAGAUCAACUAAAAUCAAAUAAUUAGUGGUACGAACAAAGUUCCCCCCUGCUAUGGAUUUCCAGUGGUAGACGACCACAGAUGCCACUUCUGUUAAGAUUACGCACACUUCUUCCACAUCAGGCAGACUUGCAAUUACUAGAGAACUUCGUGCUUUCCUUAACCUAAAAGAGAUAAAAAAAGAAAAGACCAUAGACGAGGAUAACCAUCCAUUUUCUCCCAAAAAUCAGUUUACAAAGGAAGCUAAAAAGAAAAUGUUGAACGUAUAUAUUACAUUUUCCACAAUGGAAGCAACAGAAUUUUGGUGAGCAAGAAGACGAUUUAUGAGCCCCAUUCCAUAUAUUCUUCCAACGUUUCUUUCCCCACCAUAGCCUUCCCAUUCUAUGAUCAGCAAAGCUUCGUCCUAUCUCAACUGAAAUUUGUAAAUUAUUUAUCCCGUCUAUACUUAAAUAAUUAAAAUCCUAAAACUCCAAGAAUGAUAUACAUACAUCCCCAAUUUCUCUACAACAUAAAACCCCUGAAACUUUAAGAAACGUAAUCAGGUCAAGACACUAGAGAUUUUGUUAAAGUCUUCCAUCUUGUGCAAAAAAUGUCAUCUUGUCAUCAUUUUCCUCGAAGUGACAUAUUGGUGGGAACCCAAAUAAAAACGACUAUAGUGCUCAAACACAAAAAGUAAAGUUAAACAACCACAGAGAAUAAUCCAAAAUGAGACAAACAAUCAUGACAGAAGAACAAGAAUCCAAAGGGCCAUUCGAGAGAUUCCUCACUCUCCUGUGGCACGUGGCCUCCUCUUCUUCUCCCCCAAUAGCUUCUCUCUCCUAUUUAUACUCACUUCACGUGCCCAACAACCAUUUUGUCCCACUCUUAGCCUACUGACUGUAUACAGCAGUAAUGGGCCCGCCUACUGGCCCAUUCCUACCAGAGGGUCCAUCACAUAUACUACAUUCCUUGUUUCACUCAGUAUUGGAUUAAGACCCCUUCUGAAAACAUCAGAACAAGAACCAAUUACUUCCCCAUUGGAAUUAUUUUGCAUUAUACUGUUUAUCAAAAAUCAUUUAACAGAAUUGUAUUCC
rnacentral:lncRNA from 1 species